UACGUAGGGGGCAAGCGUUGUCCGGAAUUAUUGGGCGUAAAGCGCGCGCAGGCGGUUGUUUAAGUCUGAUGUUUAAACCGAAGGCUCAACCUUCGGUCGCAUUGGAAACUGGAGAACUGGAGUGUAGGAGAGGAAAGUGGAAUUCCACGUGUAGCGGUGAAAUGCGCAGAUAUCGGGAGGAACACCAGUAGCGAAGGCGGCUCGCUGGGCCAUUCCUGACGCUGAGACGCGAAAGCUAGGGGAGCGAACAGG
rnacentral:rRNA from 1 species